CCUACGGGGGGCUGCAGUGGGGAAUUUUGGACAAUGGGCGAAAGCCUGAUCCAGCAAUGCCGCGUGAGUGAAGAAGGCCUUCGGGUUGUAAAGCUCUUUUGUUUGGGAAGAAAUCCCUAAGGAUAAUACCCUUGGGGGAUGACGGUACCAAAAGAAUAAGCACCGGCUAACUACGUGCCAGCAGCCGCGGUAAUACGUAGGGUGCAAGCGUUGCUCGGAGUGUCCGGGGGUGAUUUGUUAAGACAGGGUUGAAAUCCCCGAGCUCAACUUGGGAACUGCACUUGUGACUGCAAGACUAGAGUGUGUCAGAGGGAGGUAGAAUUCCACGUGUAGCAGUGAAAUGCGUAGAUAUGUGGAGGAAUACCAGUGGCGAAGGCGGCCUCCUGGGAUAACACUGACGCUCAUGUACGAAAGCGUGGGGAGCAAACAGGAUUAGAUACCCCUGUAGUC
rnacentral:rRNA from 1 species